rnacentral:rRNA from 1 species
AAUGGUUAAUUUAAAGCUUAAAUAUAAAUAACAAAAAGUAAAAUUAGAAUGUUAUUUUGUAUAAAAAUAAAUUAUAAUUGAAACUAAAAAGGUCUAGUAAUAAACUAGGAUUAGAUACCCUAUUAUUCUAGAAUAAAUUUAAUUAACUUAAUUAGUAAAAGAUAGAUUCUUAAAAUUUAAAAAAUUUGGCGGCAGUUUAAUCUUUUCAGAGGAACCUGUUUUUAAAUCGAUAAACCACGAAAAAUCUUACUUGUUCUUGUAUAAAUUACAGUUUGUAUACCAUCAUUAUCAGAUAAUUCUUAGAGGAAAAAUUAUUUUAUUUAAUUGUUUAUUAAAAUUAGAUCAUGGUGCAGUUUAUGAGCAAGGUAAAAUGGGUUACAAUAAAUUAUUUUAUUGCGAAUUUAUACUAUAAUAUUAUAAUAAAGAUGGAUUUGAUUGUAUUUUUAGUUUAAUAAGCUAAAGAGAUAUGAGUUCUAAAUUGUGUACAUAUCGCCCGUCGCUUUCAUUUAUAAGU